rnacentral:rRNA from 1 species
AUUGAACGCUGGCGGCAGGCCUAACACAUGCAAGUCGAGCGAGCGGCGGACGGGUGAGUAAUGUAUGGGGACUGCCCGCUAGAGGGGGAUAACUACUGGAAACUGUGGCUAAUACCGCAUAAUAUCGGAUAACCCAAGUGGGAUUAGCUAGUAGGUGGGGUAAAGGCUCACCUAGGCGACGAUCUCUAGCUGGUCUGAGAGGGUGAUCAGCCACACUGGGACUGAGACACGGCCCAGACUCCUACGGAGGCAGCAGUGGGGAAUAUUGAGCAAUGGGCGCAAGCCUGAUGCAGCAAUGCCGCGUGUGUGAAGAAGGCCUUAGGGUUGUAAAGUACUUUUAGCGGGGAGGCGUUACCCGAAGAAGAAGCACCGGCUAACUCCGUGCCAGCAGCCGCGGUAAUAC